rnacentral:rRNA from 1 species
UACAGAGGUCCCAAGCGUUGUUCGGAUUCAUUGGGCGUAAAGGGUGCGUAGGUGGCGCCGUAAGUCAGGUGUGAAAUCUCGGGGCUUAACUCCGAAACUGCAUUUGAUACUGCGGUGCUUGAGGACUGGAGAGGAGACUGGAAUUUACGGUGUAGCGGUGAAAUGCGUAGAUAUCGUAAGGAAGACCAGUGGCGAAGGCGGGUCUCUGGACAGUUCCUGACACUGAGGCACGAAGGCCAGGGGAGCAAACGGG